rnacentral:misc_RNA from 1 species
GAAAUGCGAUAAGUAGUGUGAAUUGCAGAAUUCAGUGAAUCAUCGAAUCUUUGAACGCACAUUGCGCCCCUUGGUAUUCCAUGGGGCAUGCCUGUUCGAGCGUCAUUUGUACCCUCAAGCUUUGCUUGGUGUUGGGUGUUUGUCUCUGCUAUGCCUAGACUCGCCUUAAAUUCAUUGGCAGCCUGUAUAUUGGUUUGAAGCGCAGCACAAUUUGCGCUCUCGGCCCAAAUUAUUGGCACCCAUAAGAUUUUUAUCACUUUUGACCUCGGAUCAGGUAGGGAUACCCGCUGAACUUAA